rnacentral:rRNA from 1 species
UACGUAGGGGGCUAGCGUUGUCCGGAUUUAUUGGGCGUAAAGAGCGUGUAGGCGGUCAGGUAGGUCUGGUGUGAAAACUCGAGGCUUAACCUCGAGAUGUCAUCGGAAACCAUCUGGCUAGAGUCCGGAAGAGGAGAGUGGAAUUCCUGGUGUAGCGGUGAAAUGCGCAGAUAUCAGGAAGAACACCAAUGGCGAAAGCAGCUCUCUGGGACGGUACUGACGCUGAGGCGCGAAAGCGUGGGGAGCGAACAGG